rnacentral:lncRNA from 1 species
CAAGGAACAACGGAAUGAGAGAAGGGCGGAGAAAGGAAUUUGAGAAUGGGCCGAUCAAAGAUUACGAAAAACGUCCAAUUUCUGUAAUCUUUAUUCCCGUUUGUGACUCCAUGGGGGGGGGGGGGUGUUGUCUUGACUCUCAGUAUAAAGGGACUCUAGUUAGAGAUUUAAGACUUUCACAAUGCGCUCAUCGUGAUUUUUGAGCCAUUUAACAUAAGAAUUAACUUUCCUUUUUGGCUCAAGCUGAAUUUUGCGACAGACCCAUUCACAAAUUUGAGGAGAGGAAAAGUAAGACCUUUGGUCUAGACAAAAGAAAAGAAAGAAAGUAUAGUAAUCGAUUAUAAUUUCAAGUGAAACCACUUAAAACCAUCGAAUCUACUUGUAGUUGAUCGCUCCUCUUUUUGACACAGCAUACGAUAAUGAUUUGCGUCUGUGCUCUCAACUGAGAUAUCUCUCUAUUGAGCAUGGACAUCUUAUCGUUAAACCUGUGAUACGAGCUACCGAAACUAAAACAUCAAGCCUUAUCUGCAAUCCCAGUUCACGAAUCAUUGAUGGCUAAUUUCUCGGUUUUUGACAGUGUUUUAUCGACUAAGUUCCAAUUUUUAUUUUUUAAAUUGGAAAGUUCAGUCCUUGACACACGCGAUAUUGAAUUUUUUUAAAUUUCAGUGAUUACAGUUUCAGCUACAACUUUGUUUUUUCAAAUAAUUUAGCUCCGUAAUCCCUUUACUUGGGCGGCCGCCGUUUGGGGAUCUUUCGUCACUUGAUCAAAUGGAGCUAGAGGAACAGCUGAAUACCGUUAUAUUUCCGGAAGCAGUGAGCGCUGGUUGCUUCGGGGAUGACGUGGACAAAUUCAUCCGUUUCAAAGUAAUGAGCCGCCCAGGUACACCAUACUUCUGCUCGGAUACGAUUUUUGGUGAUGUCUCACUGGAGAAAAAAGCAGGCCUACGCGUUGAACUUCCAGUCAUCGUAAAAACGAAUAGCAGGAGUCGCAGGGGCGGCUUUCCGUCCAAAACUUUUUUGGAUGCUAUGUUCCACAACGAGGUGUUAUUCUACUCGAAGAUCGUGCCUUCUCUCCGGAAAUACGACGAAUUCGACAUCCUGUCCGCAAUUUUUCCGAACUUCGUUUGCGGAAGAGCUACCGACGGCCAAAAUUCUGAGGAGGACUUUAUCAUCCUGAAGGAUCUUCGUCAGAGAGAUUUCCAGCCAUACAUAGCAAGGGAAAGUGAAAAGAAAAAGGAUUAA